AUAUUUUACAAAAAAAUAUAUAAUUAAGAUGGCCUCAUUUAAGCUCUUCAUUGCUCUCUUUGUUGCAAUUUUAGUUAAUCACUCUUGGACUCCAAAUAAGAUGCAAGUGAUGGCACUACGAGAUUUACCUGUUAAUGUUGCUAAGAUGAAGGGAAAAUUACUUGGACUUGGUGAUAUUACUACUUGUGGGAUGUCUUGCAGUGAUCGUAACGAUUGCAAAGAAGGUUUUAUGUGUUCAGAUUGUGUUAAAGUUGGGACCUUAUUUGCUCAAUGCAUAUAACACAAUCGCACUAUUAUCAAUAAAAUAUUUAUGGAGCGCAAAUUAUUGUUGCACGUAAUGGAUGGAUUAUUAAUUGUUCGAUAUGUCUUUAUGUUUAUUCAAGCAUUUUAAAUAAUAUUUUAUUUGCGAAGUUGUGCUAAGAUAAUAAAUAUGUAACCUUAUAAGUUCCCUAUUUAUUGGGAGAUUACUUACUUUAAUAGGUUACAUUUAAAUUAUAUGU